rnacentral:lncRNA from 1 species
UUUUAAUUUUUUACAUACGGUCUCUCUCUCUGGUCUACAAGUAGGCUAGGCUACUUAUCCUGUAAGCUCUAGGGAGCUUCCUGUCUCUGGCUGUCCAGUGCUGAGAGUACACACCUGGCUUUUUCUUUUCUUUCUUUCUUUCUUUUUUUUUUUUUUAAUAGAAGCAGCUGGGGUUAAACUCAGUCAGAUUCCCAUGCUUAGAAGGCAAUGGCUCCGCCAACCCAAACUAUGUCCCCAACUCGAAAUUGAAAGGGUUUUUUAAGAACUAAGGGUGAUACUAGUUUGUUUCCUUAUCAUCAGGAUGGAGCACAGUUCCUCCCGAGUGAAGAAGCCCCAUGCAUGUGGGGAAGUCUUCCCUUCAUCUACUUUAGAGUUCUGCAGUCAAGUUCAAGGAGGAAGACUUCCUGAAAGAAAGAAUAUGCCAGUCACCCCAAAAGAGAAGCAUCCUACUAAACUAACAAUCCAGCAGCUGCUACCAGAUAACCACUCACUACUCAGAAUGCCUCUCACCUCAGAGCUCAAAACCAUAAACUAAGCUGAUCCCUCUACACAAGCAAAGCCCUGCUCUUCUUUCUUGAGAAGAGACAAAACCGUGUUGUGACUUAGCUUAGCAUCCAGGAAUGUGAGAAUUCAGACCCAGCUGUACCUCCAAUGCUCCCUGCCAUACCACUCCUCAUCCAGGAACCCUUAAAGGGAACACUCCACUUGCUCAUUGAGUCAGUUCUUAGACAGAGCACACCUUUGGUAGCAUAAGAAAAUUUUGGCCAUUUGGGGUAGUAUAAAGAAUUGUCUCAUUUAUUUAUGAACUAUAUGUAAAUGACUGAGUCAAAUUUAACCCCCAGCUGGAUAAAACCAAACAUGUUUCAGAGUUUCUGCUAAUCCCAGAAAUCUAAUAAGAACAAACAGACCAGGUGGUGAAAUGGAACUGGCUUUUUAUUCUGUGCCUUUCUCCUACUAUUUAAACUGGACUUCUUACAAUUGUUAGUAGGAAGAUGAUAUAACCAUUUGAAAACAUGUAGCAGAUUCUAAAGUGUAAGCACACCUUAUUAUCCCAAAAUCCCACUUCCAACAAUAUAACU